CGGGUUAGUGGCGGACGGGUGAGUAACGCGUGAGAAUCUGCCCUCAGGAGGGGGAUAACGGUUGGAAACGACCGCUAAUACCCCAUAUGCCUACUGGUGAAACGAAUUUCGCCUGAGGAUGAGCUCGCGUCUGAUUAGCUAGUUGGUGAGGUAAUGGCUCACCAAGGCUUCGAUCAGUAGCUGGUCUGAGAGGAUGAUCAGCCACACUGGGACUGAGACACGGCCCAGACUCCUACGGGAGGCAGCAGUGGGGAAUUUUCCGCAAUGGGCGAAAGCCUGACGGAGCAACGCCGCGUGAGGGACGAAGGCCUCUGGGCUGUAAACCUCUUUUCUCAAGGAAGAAGAUAUGACGGUACUUGAGGAAUAAGCCACGGCUAAUUCCGUGCCAGCAGCCGCGGUAAUACGGGAGUGGCAAGCGUUAUCCGGAAUUAUUGGGCGUAAAGCGUCCGCAGGCGGCUUUUCAAGUCUGCUGUUAAAGCGUGGAGCUUAACUCCAUCAUGGCAGUGGAAACUGAAAGGCUUGAGUAUGGUAGGGGCAGAGGGAAUUCCCG
rnacentral:rRNA from 1 species